CCUAUCGGUCGCCUCUCGCCGGAGGGAAGGUUUUUUUUUGCUUUUUGUCGAUUGUUCGAUCGUGAUGUUUGGAAUUUCGUAUGGGGAGCUGUUUCUUAUUCUCGGGGCCACUGCCGCACUAAUCGGGCCAAAGGACCUGCCGAAAAUUGCAAGAACUGCUGGGAGAUUAGCAGGGAGAGCGAUUGGGUAUGUGCAGCUCGCCCGUGGGCAGUUCGAAACCGUUAUGCAGCAAUCACAAGCGAGCAAGGUUCACAAGGAACUUCAAGACACUAUUGCUCAAUUAGAGGCGAUUCGUUACGAAAUCCGAAGUAUAUCAAUCAUGAACCCAGGUCCAUUCACAAGGAGGCUGGACGCCACCGACCCUACACAUACUAAGGGAUAUCAGCAGACUGAUGUAGCUGAGAAACCUGAUGGAGAGAUUGGCCCGACAGCGACUAACGGUAAGGAUAUGAAUUCAACAAGUACGGUUCCUUCCGAUCUUCACAGCCAAGCAGUGGCAUAUGCCAGGAUAGCUGAAGUCCAAGCUAUUAAGAUGAGAACUUCAGCAGGCGGUGAAAAUACAGAGAAAGUUGGAGACGAAUGUGGGGCGGUAACUGUUCUACCUGUCUCAGCUGAGAGCGCGGGCUUACUUCCGAAACAAACUGCAGGCCAAUGCAGUUUAUGCAAAGACUAUUAAGAGGGAUAUAUCGACAUCUAAAAGUUCAUGCACUGUUUUUUUAGAACAGUUCGCCCUUGGGUAGACUCGUCCAAUGAGAAUGUGGUUUGCACUACUUAUGAACCUUUUUAAAACUUUGAAAGUUACUUUUUCAAACACGGCUUUUUCACUUGGGCAAUAUAGGGGCAACCAAAGAGGCCUUCUGAGAAGUGUUUAUGUUGUACUCAUUGUACUAUUCUUGUUAUAGAAGAUGGUGGCGGUGCAAAUACAUUGCAGGCUCUAACAUACCCACAGAUAAUAUUUGGCCGAUUAUAUUUGAAGUAGUAUGCUCAUGGAAAAUGGCUAUUUGCUGUGCCAGAUGAAGUACAAGGCUCUGAUGUUGUCCUAGAAGCCAUACUGGAAGCCGAGGUCGCAAGCAAUGCCCAAGAAUUCUUCUCGCAGCCUCAGAAUCAACUGCCUAAAGACAAGUAAAACUGAGUUAUGGAACUUGACAAGGAGGUUUGAAUAUGGUGGCAAGUUGCUGCUUAACUGUGUUCAUCAAUGACUAGUUCCCAGGAGAUGGAGAAAAAUUGAAGCUAAUAUUAGAAGCUGAAGCACUUUACCCAGUUCUGCUACUCAGACUAAAGUCUUUUUUUUUUUUUUUUUAUAACCCCAACAAUCAUUUAGCAUCUAUGUAAAGAUGGAAUUUAUAUUACUGCUUCACUUUAUAUCUGUGCGUUGCUAUUUUAACGUUAAGUGUAGGAUUGAUAAUAUAAUCUAAUGUUUUGGUUUUAUUUUGUACAUUAA